rnacentral:rRNA from 1 species
CCAGACUCCUACGGGAGGCAGCAGUGGGGAAUAUUGCACAAUGGGGGGAACCCUGAUGCAGCGACGCCGCGUGGGUGAGGAAGUACUUCGGUAUGUAAAGCCCUAUCAGCAGGGAAGAAAAUGACGGUACCUGACUAAGAAGCCCCGGCUAACUACGUGCCAGCAGCCGCGGUAAUACGUAGGGGGCAAGCGUUAUCCGGAUUUACUGGGUGUAAAGGGAGCGUAGACGGCGUGCCAAGUCUGAUGUGAAAGGCCGGGGCUCAACCCCGGGACUGCAUUGGAAACUGGCAUGCUGGAGUGCCGGAGGGGCAAGCGGAAUUCCUAGUGUAGCGGUGAAAUGCGUAGAUAUUAGGAGGAACACCAAUAGCGUAGGCAGGUUGCUGGGACGGUUCUGACACUAAGGCACGAAAGCGUAGGGAGCAAACGGGAUUAGAUACCCGGGUA